AUUAGAUGAGCCUAUAUUAGAUUAGCUAGUUGGUGGAGUAAUAGCCUACCAAGGCAAUGAUCUAUAGCUGAUCUGAGYGGAUGAUCAGCCACACUGGAACUGAGAUACGGUCCAGACUCCUACGGGAGGCAGCAGUGGGGAAUAUUGGACAAUGGGCGAAAGCCUGAUCCAGCUAUGCCGCAUGAGUGAAGAAAGCCUUUGGGUUGUAAAGCUCUUUUAGUGAGGAAGAUAAUGYCGGUACUCACAGAAGAAGUCCUGGCUAACUCCGUGCCAGCAGCCGCGGUAAUACGGAGAGGGCUAGCGUUAUUCGGAAUUAUUGGGCGUAAAGGGCGCGUAGGCUGAUUAAUAAGUUAAAAGUGAAAUCCCGAGGCUUAACCUUGGAACUGCUUUUAAAACUAUUAAUCUACAGAUUGAAAGAGGAUAGAGGAAUUCCUGAUGUAGAGGUAAAAUUCUUAAAUAUUAGGAGGAACACCAUUGGCGAAGGCGUCU
rnacentral:rRNA from 1 species